rnacentral:tRNA from 1 species
GCCCCGGUAGCCCAGCGGGAGAGGCAAUGGUCUCAAACACCAUACAGCGUGGGUUCGAAUCCCACCCGGGGCA